rnacentral:tRNA from 1 species
GCCGUGUUCCACGACCCGGCGGCGGCGCUCGUCGUCGACGGGCGCAUCGUCGCCGCCGCGGAGGAGGAGCGGUUCAGCCGCCGCAAGCACGGCA